AUACCAGCACCCCGAGUGGUCGGGACGAUUAUUGGGCCUAAAGCAUCCGUAGCCGGUCCUGCAAGUCUUCCGUUAAAUCCAGCUGCUUAACAGAUGGGCCGCGGGAGAUACUACAGGGCUAGGAGGCGGGAGAGGCAAGCGGUACUUUAUGGGUAGGGGUAAAAUCCGCUGAUCCAUAGAAGACCACCAGUGGCGAAGGCGGCUUGCCAGAACGCGCUCGACGGUGAGGGAUGAAAGCUGGGGGAGCAAACCGGAUUAGAUACCCGGGUAGUCCCAGCUGUAAACGAUGCAGACUCGGUGAUGGGUUGGCCUCGCGCCUGCCCAGUGCCGCAGGGAAGCCGUUAAGUCUGCCGCCUGGGGAGUACGGCCGCAAGACUGAAACUUAAAGGAAUUGGCGGGG
rnacentral:rRNA from 1 species